GUUGCACUGUUCAUUUGAGCCCGAAGUAAAUGACGCUUUUGCCCUUAAUUUUUUCUUAAAUUACAUCCCUGCCAUUCAGUCUGUUAUAAACACCCGCCGACAGUAGAAUGCUAGAACUCCAGAAGGUUCAGGUUUUUUCGCUCUCUUGCUUCUCCUUAUCAACUUGACAGUGGUGCAGAUAUUUAGCAACGAUUAGAUACGUGGCAAGGAUUGAUUUCUAUGGCAAAGGGAUUGAUUUCCGUCUCAAAUCAAUAUUCCGUCUGUAACCUGCAUUUGAUCACUCGGCACGAGGUUAUUGAGCUUCCUCGAAGAGAGACAAAGCUCGAGCUUUCUGGAGAUGACGAUCUUCUUCAUUUUAAGAGAAUUAAGAUUGGGUAUCUACACCUGAGGAUUCUAGAUUUGUAUAAUAAGUGGAUUGCUUCUUUUUUCUACAGUCGUGUAAGGAGGAUUGAGAGGUUUAGGGUCAAAGAGAUAGAGAUAGACGAAGAGAUAGAGAGAAAUCGGAGGCAAGUUCUCACCUCAUCAUCUGAGAUCGGAGGCUUGGGUUCGUUUUGGAAGAGAUGUGUGCCAAGAUUGUGAUUGAGUUUAGGAGACCGGCUUUGGGAGCAAAAGAGAUCGAUCAGCUUCGGUCCAAUCUUGAAUCUCUAAUUGCCAGCCGGGUUCAAAUCUUUUUCAUUUGCUUCUGAGAUCAACAUCAGAGCAAACCCAGACUCGAUUACAGAAUUUAUCAGUUAAUUGUGCAGGCCAAAUAAAGGAGGUCCUUCUAAAGCACCAGUUAUAUAUACUGGAAAAAUCAUGUGCUUCACAAUACCAAUGACUGCAAUUGUCUCAUUGUAUACACAUGAGAUGAAAGAACCCUUUGAAGAUGAUAUUGUGUCAGCUCUGCUCAGCUGUUAAAAUAUGCUUAUAGCUACCGAAUGGUCUUAUGGAUAGUCCCAAAACCCAAGAUAGCGAACCAACAACUUCCAUGCCAAAUCUUGUUAAGCUUGGGAAGAAGAGGAAUCUAGAUGGACUGCAGAAGGAAUUGUUCACACCAGAACCAAGCAAGAACCCAAGAAGGCAAGUUUUAAAAUCUUUGUUUGAUCAGUUCAACAAGGAAUAGCUUCAAUUCUGAUUUAGGAACCAUACUCAAUGUGUGCAGUCUCUUUUUCACUUAGUUUUUGCAUUUUAUCUUCUCUGUCCAUUCAAUUUAACCAUGCCUUAGUCAAUGAGGCAAUCCUUUAAAUAUGACCUUCAUGUGCUCUGUAUAUUCCAGUGACAACCUUGAAGAUGAAGCAAACCCAUCAGAUGAGACCAGCACAAAUACAUUGGUUCAAUCUGACACUGAAGACCUUACCUAGCCACUUCUGUUGUGCAACCCUUUUUCUUAUGCCUUUUGUCAUGCUAUGUAACUUUUUGUGAUGAUGACCAUUCUCUAUUUUUUUGGUAAUACUAAUGGCCUUCCGAAAACAAUCAACCAAAAUAGCAGAACAUCUACUGAUUAAUGUACAUAAAAGGUAUCAGAGUUGAUUGUUCAAUAGUGUGACUAAGUACAGCACAUGACAACUGUGGAAGUGCACAUCAACCUCAAAUCUGGAUGAGGAAGGAUGCAUAAAUGAGUUAUCUGUGAUUCCAAGUCUUGGUUGCACUGAUAACUUCUUAAGUCACACAAUGUCCACUUCUGUCGAGGUGUUUGGGACUACAGAAGUUCUGUUAUGGAAUCACAAUCACCCUCAGUGCCCACAACAUUGUAGCUGCUAGCAGAACUGCUG